rnacentral:rRNA from 1 species
AUGUUGCCCCCGGCGCUGUCGCCCACCAGGAGCAGCCGCGUCAGGUCGGCGCGGCGCGACAGCCAGGGCUCCGCCCCGGACCGCGCGCUCCCGAGCACCCAUCUCAGCGCCGCCCACGCGUCGUCGUAGGCCGCCGGGAGGGGGUGCUCCGGCGAGAGGUGGUAGUCCACGGACACGACGAGCGCCCCGGCCUUGGACGCGAGCGCGUUGAGGUACCGCUGGUACGUCGGCGAGAAGGCAGACUCCGUGACGAACCCGCCGCCGUGGUAG